UCCAAAAUUUAGUAAUGCUUAUAAUGAUAGACUUAUCAGCUGGAGGCGACCAACAAAGAUAAAGCUCGAUGGAUCCAAGAAAGAAAUCUUCUUUGAAUCUUGUCAAUAAGAAGUUCAUAGUCCAAUUUACUCCAAACCUUGGUAGCUAGAGCCAUUAUCAAAUAAUGAAUGUGUAGGGUGCCAAAUAUUAGGCACUUACUCACAACAGCUUGGCUGAAGUAAUCUCUAUCCUUACCAACUUCAAAAAUAAAAUAUUUGGUUGCAUCGAUAUACAAGCCGAACAUACAAGCAAACUAAUCCAUCACACCAAGGCCUCCAUCUAAGAGUUGCCACUACAAUAAUGAGUAUAUCAUGUGUAAAACUAAGAUGAGUGCGGUUCACAUCCUUACAUUUGGGAUGAUAUCCAAAAUGAUCAUCCAUAGCUGCUUGAUUCAACAUAUUGGAGAGAAAAUUAUUGAGAGAGAACAACCUUAGCGUAUACCAUAGCACUAGUGGAAAAGCCCUUUAGUUACUCA
rnacentral:lncRNA from 1 species